AGAGUUUGAUCCUGGCUCAGGAUGAACGCUGACAGAAUGCUUAACACAUGCAAGUCAACUUGAACUUCGGUUUGGGUGGCGGACGGGUGAGUAACGCGUAAAGAACUUGCCUCACAGCUAGGGACAACAUUUGGAAACGAAUGCUAAUACCUGAUAUUAUGAUUUUAGGGCAUCCUAGAAUUAUGAAAGCUAUAUGCGCUGUGAGAGAGCUUUGCGUCCCAUUAGCUAGUUGGAGAGGUAACGGCUCACCAAGGCGAUGAUGGGUAGCCGGCCUGAGAGGGUGAUCGGCCACAAGGGGACUGAGACACGGCCCUUACUCCUACGGGAGGCAGCAGUGGGGAAUAUUGGACAAUGGACCAAGAGUCUGAUCCAGCAAUUCUGUGUGCACGAUGAAGUUUUUCGGAAUGUAAAGUGCUUUCAGUUGGGAAGAAAAAAAUGACGGUACCAACAGAAGAAGUGACGGCUAAAUACGUGCCAGCAGCCGCGGUAAUACGUAUGUCACAAGCGUUAUCCGGAUUUAUUGGGCGUAAAGCGCGUCUAGGUGGUUAUGUAAGUCUGAUGUGAAAAUGCAGGGCUCAACUCUGUAUUGCGUUGGAAACUGUGUAACUAGAGUACUGGAGAGGUAAGCGGAACUACAAGUGUAGAGGUGAAAUUCGUAGAUAUUUGUAGGAAUGCCGAUGGGGAAGCCAGCUUACUGGACAGAUACUGACGCUAAAGCGCGAAAGCGUGGGUAGCAAACAGGAUUAGAUACCCUGGUAGUCCACGCUGUAAACGAUGAAUACUAGGUGCUGGGAGGCAUAAGCCUUUCGGUGCCGUCGCAAACGCAUUAAGUAUUCCACCUGGGGAGUACGUUCGCAAGAAUGAAACUCAAAGGAAUUGACGGGGACCCGCACAAGCGGUGGAGCAUGUGGUUUAAUUCGACGCAACGCGAGGAACCUUACCAGCGUUUGACAUCUUAGGAAUGAGACAGAGAUGUUUCAGUGUCCCUUCGGGGAAACCUAAAGACAGGUGGUGCAUGGCUGUCGUCAGCUCGUGUCGUGAGAUGUUGGGUUAAGUCCCGCAACGAGCGCAACCC
rnacentral:rRNA from 1 species